rnacentral:rRNA from 1 species
AGAAGAAGCACCGGCUAACUCCGUGCCAGCAGCCGCGGUAAUACAGAGGGUGCGAGCGUUAAUCGGAAUUACUGGGCGUAAAGCGAACGUAGGCGGUUAUCUAAGUCGGAUGUGAAAUCCCCGGGCUCAACCUGGGAAUUGCAUUCGAGACUGAAUAGCUAGAAUGCGGAAGAGGGAAGCGGAAUUUCCGGUGUAGCGGUGAAAUGCGUAGAUAUCGGAAGGAACAUCAGUGGCGAAAGCGGCUUCCUGGUCCAGCAUUGACGCUCAGGUUCGAAAGCGUGGGGAGCAAACAGGAUUAGAUACCCUGGUAGUCCACGCCAUAAACGAUGAGGACUAGACGUUGAGAGGGUUAGCCUCCCAGUGUCGCAGCUAACGCGCUAAGUCGACCGCCUGGGGAGU